GUCGAGCGAAUGGAUURAGAGCUUGCUCUYAWGAAGUUAGCGGCGGACGGGUGAGUAACACGUGGGUAACCUGCCCAUAAGACUGGGAUAACUCCGGGAAACCGGGGCUAAUACCGGAUAAUAUUUUGAACUGCAUGGUUCGAAAUUGAAAGGCGGCUUCGGCUGUCACUUAUGGAUGGACCCGCGUCGCAUUAGCUAGUUGGUGAGGUAACGGCUCACCAAGGCAACGAUGCGUAGCCGACCUGAGAGGNNNNNNNGCCACACUGGGACUGAGACACGRMCNAGACUCCUACGGGAGGCAGCAGUAGGGAAUCUUCCGCAAUGGACGAAAGUCUGACGGAGCAACGCCGCGKGAGUGAUGAAGGCUUUCGGGUCGUAAAACUCUGUUGUUAGGGAAGAACAAGUGCUAGUUGAAUAAGCUGGCACCUUGACGGUACCUAACCAGAAAGCCACGGCUAACUACGUGCCAGCAGCCGCGGUAAUACGUAGGUGGCAAGCGUUAUCCGGAAUUAUUGGGCGUAAAGCGCGCGCAGGUGGUUUCUUAAGUCUGAUGUGAAAGCCCACGGCUCAACCGUGGAGGGUCAUUGGAAACUGGGAGACUUGAGUGCAGAARAGGAAAGUGNAAUUCCAUGUGUAGCGGUGAAAUGCGUARAGAUAUGGAGGAACACCAGUGGCGAAKGCGACUUUCUGGUCUGUAACUGACACUGAGGCGCGAAASCGKGGGGGAGCAAACAGGAUUAGAUACCCUGG
rnacentral:rRNA from 1 species